rnacentral:rRNA from 1 species
UACGUAGGUGGCAAGCGUUAUCCGGAUUUACUGGGUGUAAAGGGCGUGUAGGCGGGACUGCAAGUCAGAUGUGAAAUUCCAGGGCUCAACCCUGGACCUGCAUUUGAAACUGUGGUUCUUGAGUGAUGGAGAGGCAGGCGGAAUUCCGAGUGUAGCGGUGAAAUGCGUAGAUAUUCGGAGGAACACCAGUGGCGAAGGCGGCCUGCUGGACAUUAACUGACGCUGAGGCGCGAAAGCGUGGGGAGCAAACAGA